rnacentral:lncRNA from 1 species
AUGCUGACAGCUCUCACUAUCAUUCUGCUAAUAGUUGCUUAUUACAGCUAUAAGUAUUUCCUCAGGCAGAAGAAAUUGUGGGAGGAAAAUAUUCCAAAUCCUGGGAAGAGUCUGCUGAUCCAGAGCUACCUGGGGGCAAGAGGGACCUGUACCUUGCAGGGUGCCCCUGCUAGUACAACAUGGAGUUAUUCUAAGGAAGCUGUCAGCCACCUGCCAGCCAGCCAGGUGGGCUUCAGUGGGCAGAACAUUUCUGAGGGGGUGGAGGAGAUUAACUGCCUUCAAAUGCUGGAUGGGAUGAUUAAGAACAGUUCACCAGAGCUUCAUGGAGCUAAGUCUGCGACAGAGAACCUUUCCCUUGGUACACUGGAUCCGCAACUCUGUCAGACUUCUGAAAUGCCACAUAAAACCUCACUUUUAACAGCUGCCCUUGUCAGCCCACUGAAUCAGAGUGCAGCAGUGUCCGGCCUGUUGACCAGGUUUCCAUGCAGGAGCGCUGCUGAUGCAAGUACUGCUUCCCAGACAGCAGUCACUUCCUUCGCUUUCAAUGGUCCAUACUUGUACGGCCCAGUGAUGUCCUCCCAGCCUGAGAUGCAUCAAAUUCUUCAGGUGGACCCGGUGGGAAACCAAGAGAAAUCAGUGUCCCUUCAGGGGCAUGAGUCUGCUCCCAGGCACCACGGAGGCAAGAGGAGCAGGUCCUCAGCAUCCUUUCCUGCUCCCAGAUUAGAAGGAAAUGAUGCAGCGCCUUAA